AUAUUUUCUUGACCUUUUGGCUAUGAUUAAAUAGAAUAUUUCUUCUUAUUAGUAUGAUGAUUGAUAUAUCUCUAAGUGGUUGUUAUAUCUAUUUAUAUUGGGAAGUAUCUUUAUGAGCUCGCUUGGAAAUUUUCAUGUGUUGUGUUGGUAUAGCACUAAACUAGUGGAAUACACCUUAC
rnacentral:snRNA from 1 species